rnacentral:rRNA from 1 species
GACGAACGCUGGCGGCGUGCUUAACACAUGCAAGUCGAACGGAAAGGCCCUGCUUGCAGGGUGCUCGAGUGGCGAACGGGUGAGUAACACGUGGGUGAUCUGCCCCUUACUUUGGGAUAAGCCUGGGAAACUGGGUCUAAUACUGGAUAGGACCAUGCUGUAGGUGGUGUGGUGGAAAGAUUAGUUUCGGUAAGGGAUGAGCUCGCGGCCUAUCAGCUUGUUGGUGGGGUAAUGGCCUACCAAGGCGUCGACGGGUAGCCGGCCUGAGAGGGUGGACGGCCCAGUUUGGGUAGGAGAGAGGGCCCGGCUACGUGGGGGGGGAGGAGGGGGGGAAUAGUGAAAAAGGGGGGCAGGCCGAGGGCGGGAGGGCGGGGGGGGGAAGGCCGCCUUUGGGGUUGAAAACCCUUUAAGCCCAGGAGAAGGCCUUUGUGGGGAGGGUGGGGGAAGAAAAGCACCGGGCAAUUAAGG